rnacentral:rRNA from 1 species
UGGGGAAUCUUGCGCAAUGCGCGAAAGCGUGACGCAGCAACGCCGCGUGGGGGAAGACGGCCUUCGGGUUGUAAACCCCUUUCAGGAGGGACGAAGGUUCGCCGGUGAAUAGCCGUGCGGAUUGACGGUACCUCCAGAAGAAGCUCCGGCUAACUACGUGCCAGCAGCCGCGGUAAUACGUAGGGGGCAAGCGUUGUCCGGAAUCAUUGGGCGUAAAGCGCGCGUAGGCGGCCCUGUAAGUCCGCUGUGAAAGUCAAAGGCUCAACCUUUGAAAGCCGGUGGAUACUGCAGGGCUAGAGUCCGGAAGAGGCGAGUGGAAUUCCUGGUGUAGCGGUGGAAUGCGCAGAUAUCAGGAGGAACACCAAUAGCGAAGGCAGCUCGCUGGGACGGUACUGACGCUAAGGCGCGAAAGCGUGGGGAGCGAACA